rnacentral:rRNA from 1 species
AAUGAACGCUGGCGGCAUGCCUAACACAUGCAAGUCGAACGGACGCACAGUAAGCUUUCUCUCUUACGGUUGGCGGUGGACGGGUGAGUGACGCAUAGAUCACCAUCUGCUUUUUCUUGGGUAAUAACGGGGAACAGCAUCCACUACUACAGCAUACAAUCAACCGCUUGAAUCAAUAGUUCUUCGCCCCUUUCCCGAUUGUUUGAGCCGAUGCCGCAUUAGCUUGUUGGCGGGGUAAAGGCCCACCAAGGCGACGAUCCGUAGCUUGUCUGAGCGGAUGAUCAGCCACACUGGAACUGAGACACGGUCCAGACUCCUACGGGAGGCAGCAGUGGGGAAUAUUCCACAAUGGGCGCAAGCCUGACGCAGCAACACCGCGUGGGUGAUGAAGGCCUUCGGGUCGUAAAGCUCUGUUAUUGGGAAAGAAAAGCAGUAUAAGAAUCCCUGGACGUCCUGACGGUACCUAAACAAAAAGCAACGGCUAACUUCGUG